AAACAUGUUUGCAAGAGAGAGGUUUCCACACACUUAUAAAGAAUGUUUGGUUCUCCUCCUCCUCAAACAAUAUAGGAUCUUACAAUACCUCCUCUUCAGGCUUCAGCAUUCUUGUUGUAACCCUCGUUUUUCUCUCCAAUCAAUGUGGGAUCUCACAAAAGAGUCCAGACAUCUCGAAAAACUCAACUACCAUAUGCAUGUAAAAGGGAUUAAGAGGACCCAAUAGAGUAAGAAGAGCAUCAAACUCAUUGUGUAAUCAAUGAUAGCUAGCUUUUCCUAAACAGAUAGGACCCAUUUAAGUUUGUAUGUUUCCAUGGAAGGGAAGAAGAAUAUAGACAUCUCGAAGAGCUCAACAACGUCUAUAUUCUUAACUCUCCUUCCAUCUCGAAGAGCUCAAAAGUGCCUCCAACUCGCUGAAAAUGGUGACAAACAAACAGCAACCACUCCACAGGCAAUGUUGGACCAGAAGAUUAUACAGUUAAUCCAAACCGACCAGUUCUGGUAAGAACAAGAUUUUUGUUCUGUUCAGCUCUGCUCUGUUCUGCUCUCUCCAUGUUUGUAUGUUCUGUUUAGAAAUUUGAAUUUUAGGGUAAAGGGUAUGGACUUUGAUGUAUAUAAAGGACUGUUGUAGUCUUUCGAUCCGUAAAAUCUUAGCUUAGAAUGAGUUCAAUAAGUCCUUAAAUUCGAAUAAUGUUUUAAAUUUACGAAUUUAUUAGACAUAAAAUUGAAAGUUUAAGAGUCUGUUGUGUUGUUUGAGCUGAUUGUGGUAGGUGGGCUAGACUCGAGAUUUGGUGUUUUGGGCUUUUUUUUUUUUGUAUAGAACUCGAUGGCUCUCAUUUAGCAUUGAAGAUAAAGAAAUAAAGAGGAAAGAAGAUUAGGUUAU